rnacentral:rRNA from 1 species
GACGAACGCUGGCGGCGUGCCUAACACAUGCAAGUCAACUUGACUGAAGGAGCAAUCUGACAGUAGAGUGGCGCAAGGGUGCGUAACGCGUAAGUAACUUGCCCCAAGGUAAGGAAUAACGUCGAGAAAUCGGCGCUAAUACCUCAUAAUGCAGCGGAUCCGCAUGGAUAUGUUGUUAAAGGUUUACCGCCUUGGGAUAGGCUUGCGUCUGAUUAGCUAGUUGGUGUGGUAACGGCACACCAAGGCUACGAUCAGUAACUGGUCUGAGAGGAUGAUCAGUCACACUGGAACUGAGACACGGUCCAGACUCCUACGGGAGGCAGCAGUGAGGAAUAUUGGGCAAUGCUCGAAAGAGUGACCCAGCAACGCCGCGUGGAGGAUGAAGGUAUUCUAUAUCGUAAACUCCUGUGAGAGCAGACGAAAGACAGAUUAUAAUCUGGAUGACUGUAUGCUCAGAGGAA